GAAUUGCGAUAAGUAAUGUGAAUUGCAGAAUUCAGUGAAUCAUCGAAUCUUUGAACGCACCUUGCACCCUCUGGUAUUCCGGAGGGUAUGCCUGUUUGAGUGUCUUGAAACCCCCCUCACAGCAGGUUUUCUGCUGUGGUGUUGAGCGCAUGCCGGAGAGUGGGUGCUGUGUGUAAAUACACACACGCUGCACCGGCUCGCUUUAAAUAGAGUAGUGGCGCACGCAAUUGCUCCCGUUUGAAACGUAAUAUAUCCUAUUUCGUGGACGGCGGAGAAGACUGUGCUGCUUUGGUUGUGCACGUACCCCGUGCCACACCCCACCCCCCCCCUUUUCAUCUCAGACCUCAAAUCAGGUAGGACUACCCGCUGAACUUAA
rnacentral:misc_RNA from 1 species